ACUCCACUGAAGCUGGAUUCGCUAGUAAUCGCGCAUCAGCCAUGGCGCGGUGAAUACGUUCCCGGGCCUUGUACACACCGCCCGUCAAGCCAUGGAAGCCGGGGGGUGCCUGAAGUGCGUGACCGCAAGGAGCGCCCUAAGGUAAGACCGGUGACUGGGGCUAAGUCGUAACAAGGUAUC
rnacentral:rRNA from 1 species